rnacentral:rRNA from 1 species
GAAAGUUAACUUCGGUACAUCGGUGACAGGUGGUGCAUGGUUGUCGUCAGCUCGUGUCGUGAGAUGUUGGGUUAAGUCCGCAACGAGCGCAACCCUAUUGUUAGUUGCCAUCAUUCAGUUGGGCACUCUAGCGAGACUGCCGGUAAUAAACCGGAGGAAGGUGGGAUGACGUCAAAUCAUCAUGCCCCUUAUGACCUGGGCUACACACGUGCUACAAUGGUUGGUACAACGAGUUGCGAGUCGGUGACGGCGAGCUAAUCUCUUAAAGCCAAUCUCAGUUCGGAUUGUAGGCUGCAACUCGCCUACAUGAAGUCGGAAUCGCUAGUAAUCGCGGAUCAGCACGCCGCGGUGAAUACGUUCCCGGGCCUU